GGUAUAGAUCUCUACUGGUUCAUUUUUGACUGGCAUAGGGCAUGCUGGAUGAAGAGACCCUGCACUGGGCCUGUGACCAGCAGGAACUGAAUCAAUGCUGAGAACACAUUCUAACAUUUGAAUGGGCAGCUUGCAGUUACAGUGACUUUGGAUAAGGCCUGAAGGGAAGUUCCAUGUAGCACAAGCAAACUUAAGUUGCUGUUUCAAUACCACCUGCAUCUGCAGGCAUUUGGAUUAAAAAGGAUUUCGACCAUUAUGUGUACAUAUGCCGUAUGUGAAUGUGGUCCUAGAAAGAUGACCAACAAAAGAUGUUGCAUCAGGAUAGUCAAUCUUUCCAAGCCUCUAAAACUUCUCUGGAAUACCCAAGAGUCUACAGGCCACACUUUGAGAACUGCUGGUAUAAAAGUAAUUUUAAUAGGA